rnacentral:lncRNA from 1 species
CGCUCUUUCAGCGUCCCCGCUGGUCAGGAACCUGGGGAGUGAUGUUCUCUCCGAGCCCGAGCCAGAGCCCGAAAAGGUUAAGGGUUAAACCUGAGCUCUGCCGCCAAAUGCAAAGGAUGGUUUUCUAUUGGCUCACGAUUGAAAUAGCAUUUUUUGACACUCCCAUCAGAAGAGGAGGAAAGAACGAGUUGGCAAUGGGAGGAGGAGAUGGAGAAGACUGAACUCAACUCAAGGCGACAGCUGGAAAGCAUUGACUCAGCCAUGUAAGCGCUAGAGAUGAGAUCACUGCUGAGUAGCAG